GAUGAAGAACGCAGCGAAAUGCGAUAAGUAAUGUGAAUUGCAGAAUUCAGUGAAUCAUCGAAUCUUUGAACGCACAUUGCGCCCGCCAGUAUUCUGGCGGGCAUGCCUGUUCGAGCGUCAUUUCAACCAUCAAGCCCCCGGGCUUGUGUUGGGGACCUGCGGCUGCCGCAGGCCCUGAAAAGCAGUGGCGGGCUCGCUGUCACACCGAGCGUAGUAGCAUACAUCUCGCUCUGGGCGUGCUGCGGGUUCCGGCCGUUAAACCACCUUUUAACCCAAGGUUGACCUCGGAUCAGGUAGGAAGACCCGCUGAACUUAAGCAUAUCCAAUAAGCGGAGA
rnacentral:misc_RNA from 1 species